GACGAACGCUGGCGGCGUGCUUAACACAUGCAAGUCGAACGGAAAGGCCCUGCUUGCCGGGUACUCGAGUGGCGAACGGGUGAGUAACACGUGGGUGAUCUGCCCUGCACUUCGGGAUAAGCCUGGGAAACUGGGUCUAAUACCGGAUAGGAGCCAUUUUUAGUGUGAUGGUUGGAAAGUUUUUUCGGUGUAGGAUGAGCUCGCGGCCUAUCAGCUUGUUGGUGGGGUAAUGGCCUACCAAGGCGGCGACGGGUAGCCGGCCUGAGAGGGUGGACGGCCACAUUGGGACUGAGAUACGGCCCAGACUCCUACGGGAGGCAGCAGUGGGGAAUAUUGCACAAUGGGCGCAAGCCUGAUGCAGCGACGCCGCGUGGGGGAUGACGGCCUUCGGGUUGUAAACUCCUUUCGCUAGGGACGAAGCUUUUUGUGACGGUACCUAGAUAAGAAGCACCGGCUAACCACGUG
rnacentral:rRNA from 1 species